AAACCCUAUGCGCAACUAUUCAUUCUUCUUCUUUAUUCGCGUGGUUUCAUGGGAGAGAUCGCUGAUUUUUUGAUUCGAUUAUAAUCUCACAGGUCGUUGAAGAAUCCCUGAUGAUUUCACGGAUUUUCUUUUUUGAGGUCUUUGAAGCGAAAUUUGAAGGAAUCGGGAGCAGUUUUGAGAUCGAGGGUUACGGAUAAAGCUUAAGAAAGGGGUGAUGAUGGUUGUGCUGAUUGUUUUGGUUGACUAAAACUCAUGGGAAGAAAUUUUGGGCAAAGUUGAAUCAGAAGGAAAAGAAGAAACAUGCUAAAACCCUAUAAUUGUUAUCUACGCAGGGGUUUCUUAGGGGUUGCUGUUGGUGCUGGAUGGCAAAGUGUCAUAGCUUAUGUGAACCUAGCCUGCUAUUACUUGGUCAGAAUUCCUCUUGAAAUGAUCCUCGGUUACCUUAUCGAUUUUCAAGUUACAGUAAUUUAUUUACUAAAAGUUUGUCUAUACUAAACCAUAAAGCAAUCCUGAGUGAUAUAGCCAUCAAGUACUCUGAUGGUAAACAACGGCUGUGUGACGGUGUGAGGUCUGUCUUAUUAUCUACUUUUAGUCUCUACACCUACUGGAAAAAGUGCUAUUUAAAAAAGUACAGCAGAAAACGUUGCUUCCAAUGAGAUACGGUUUUCUGACUUUAAUUGGUCAAGUGCUACUUUGUUUGAAACUAACUCGAGUAUGCUAUUGUAUCUAAUGUAUAGCUUCCUUGCCUACCGAAUCUGCCACCCACCGUGGAAGACUUGAUGCAGACUUGAGUAUCAUCAAUACUUCAUUGGGAACGCCAAUUCAAAAGGGAUUGUUACCGAAUUUGUCAGUUCACGUGUACUGGAAUUUUUUUCUUUCGUAUUUUUUUCUAACAAGAUAAUUUGCUGGAAUGUAGUGUGUAUAGGGUUGCAACGGCCUAGAGGUACUAUUGUUUCUUACCGUUCAAUCGUGAUUAUGUACAUGAAAUCUCUAGAAUUAAAAUUUAUUCAUGUCUUUCCAUUAAGGGGGUGUGGUUAAGCGUCUAUACAUGCAGGGCUAUUCAAGUGAUAGUAUAGUUGUACUAUGGGAUCAAGUAGUUAUUGAAUUCUUCACCUAAUACAAACCUAUACCAGCCUGUGGAGAUUAAUGUUUGUGGUUGCAAUAGAGGCUUGGUAAAAUUCGCAAGGCUGGCAAUGGUUUGCAUUAAUUCUUUCAAUUCUAUGACAUAUGUAAUUUAAUCAAUUUUCUAUGGUGGAACCUAUAAUGAAUUGGGUUGGUGCGAUCAAGAGGUAUCAUUGUUUAGUAUGAUUUUAUGGUGACAAUGGUUAUGUCCUGAAUUACACAAUAGUUUGGCAUUUUUUAUUUGUCUGCACAUUAAACUUUUUUAUCUUUUUUUACUUCGCAUGGUGUCAGCUCGGGGUAGGGGUUGUGUUGCCUGCAUUGCACAAACAAUGAUUUCUGUAUGUUGAACUUGGAAAAUUUCGUCCAGCUUUGGAUUGUUUACUCACUGCCAUGGGGUGUUUUGUUGGAGCUGCUUUGGAAAAUGGGGGCCAUGAAACUAUGUAAUUUUGGAAACUCCAUGGUGACGUGUGAUUGCUAAUGCACUAGAGUUUCCAGUAUUACAUCGUUUGAUGGUUUCUCAUGCUAGCUGAAUCUAUAUUAUAAAAAGAAGUGGUGUCUGUCCCGGGUAAAAGACCGCCAUCAAUUUCGGCAUCCCACGGCGAAGAUCCUGAUUGGGCUACGCUUUUUCAAUAUGGGCAGGAACUGAGAAGCAAUGAAUAUGGAUGCAACCUAAGGGCUGAUUUGAGAGUGAAAGAAAUAGGUACAACAACAACAUUCAUAGACUGCAUAGAAGAUGGAGCUUGGAACAUUCCAGGGAAUACGUAACCUUUCGUCGGAUAUGAAUGAUCAAAUUCUAAAAAGAACUUGGGGAUAUCAACAUGGAGGAUAGGAGAGUAUGUGAGCGCAGCGUUAAUGAGAAGGAUGUAUAUGUAUUCAGCUGUAAGAGUAUUUAUAAAAACAAAUUCUGAUUUAGGGAACGUAAGGGUGCUACCUAAGAGAAAGUAGGUAUUGCAUUGAAGUUGGCGAGGAAAAAUGACGUUGGAGCCCAUUGCGUCAGUUUGCUUAAUGCCUAUAUGCUUUCAAUGCGCGAGACAACUGGUCACCUAAUGUCUUUUACGUUAUUGGUGUGUGGAGAUGGGUAAAGGAUGUAUUGCAUUGCAUUUCAAUAUUAAUACUUUUAAACCCUUGGCAGGUUCUGUUGAUCAUAGCCAUGGCCGGCACCUAUUUGGAGAAACUCCUCCCAGAAACCACCAUCGAGACAUGGAGUGGCCGGGACCCUUAGACUUGACUACAAUAGCAUAAGUGAGUUCAGAUGCAGUACUAAUAUAUUGAUGCAGUUAGGAAGAAUAGCCUCUCGGAUUCAUAGGUAAGCUCUUACUGUAUACAACCACCAUUCUAUUCUAUAUUAAGCAAUGGGAUAUUAAUAUUAAUAUUUAAAUUGAUUAGUCUUUUGCAAAUAUACUUAGCCACUGUAGAUGCUUUUCUUAUAUAGCUUAGGCUGUCAAUCUACUUUCAUUAUAUAUAGGUAUCACUUGACUGCAUUUCUUAUUUUUACACAAUAGAAGGAUGCAAUCAAAUUUAACUGCUUUCUUAGCUCAAUUUGGUGGACCAUGUAGUUGUGGGUUCGACUCCCACAGAUGGCAUAGCAAUGUAUUUUUGUAGAAAGCUAGCAUUGCUCUAAAAGCAACUAUCAGUGCGACCAUUUCAUCUACCUCUUCAAAGAGGUGAACUUUCAACCAUGUUGGCAGUGGUAACCGAAGACGGGGAUAACUAUUAAUUAACAAACUAAUAACUAAGAGGGUCUACAUAGAAAUGUAUUCAGUAAACAAUGUUACCAGAUGUCGGCACCGUGUACAUUUGUCGUUGUGUGCUCAUACAAGACUUUUGUUAAAACUAUUUUCGUCCUUACUGACAUUGACAUGCUGUAUUUGGGUGCAGUGUGCAUCCAUGGAAAAUUAAAACCGUUUAUUCAAUUAACAAAUAAGGACUCUUUACAGGUAAUAGCAAAGGAGAAGACCAUUAGGGUGGUCAUGUUUUGACACCCAAUGAUACUGCAACACUAAUCUAGAGGACAGUAUACUGUAAAUGUCUUUUUCUGUUUUGAUUUUUAAUCGUAAUAGCGAAGGAGAAAGACCAUUAUCAUAUGCAAUGUUUUGACACCCAAUGUGGGAAGAAAUUUAACCUGGUAUAUUGUGGUAAAUAGGCAGCACUUGCAAAUUGGGAGGAAGUUGGUCUACUCUCGGUUUGGUUCUUGAUUACUUAGUGAGGAAAUUGCUCGAUUUAGUACCAUGAAUUUUGGAUGAUUAGAUUGUAUCUGCCCAAUGUAAUUGCUGCUGUUGUUGAGAGGAAGAAUUUGGUGGUCUAUUGGCUGACUCAGUUUAAGGAAAUGGCUACACCAGUGAUAACGGAAGCUAGGGGUAGGAAAUUUGAUCAUGUUCAUAGGCUAGCAGGAAUCACUGAGAUUCUUUCCCAUGUCAAGCUCACUCAGACAAAGUGGUCUUAGUUAACCAAGAUCUGGUUAUGGUGCUGACACGUGGAUCUCAUAUGAAAGUAAUGCACCCUGGAAGAAAGGAAAUUUGUGUGCAAGAAGACUGCAUCGGAAACUCAGGUAACUAAAGGUUUGUCCUUAGGCAGAUGUAUCUUAACCAUUGCAUAUUUCAGUUUUGGCUUUAGCAAUCAGCAAGACAUUACCAUGUAUGGCUUUGAGACGUUGGCAAUCUUGAUUGAAACGGGAAACCACCUAAUUAGAAUAACUAACACAUUAUAUUUGCUUUUAAAUUU